rnacentral:rRNA from 1 species
ACGCUCGACACCUACGGGGGCAGCAGUGGGGAAUAUUGCACAAUGGGGGAAACCCUGAUGCAGCGACGCCGCGUGGAGGAAGAAGGUCUUCGGAUUGUAAACUCCUGUUGUUGGGGAAAAAGAGGAUGGUACCCAACAAGGAAGUGACGGCUAACUACGUGCCCGNAGCCGCCGGUAAGUACUGAGCGGGCGUGCGAAGGACG